rnacentral:rRNA from 1 species
UUAAGCGACUAAGCGUACACGGUGGAUGCCCUGGCAGUCAGAGGCGAUGAAGGACGUGCUAAUCUGCGAAAAGCGCCGGCGAGGUGAUAUGAACCUUUGACCCGGCGAUGUCCGAAUGGGGAAACCCAGUGCAAUCCGUUGCACUAUCGUUAACUGAAUACAUAGGUUAACGAGGCGAACCGGGGGAACUGAAACAUCUAAGUACCCCGAGGAAAAGAAAUCAACCGAGAUUCCCCCAGUAGCGGCGAGCGAACGGGGAGCAGCCCGGAGUCUGAAUCAGCUUGUGUGUUAGUGGAACGGUCUGGAAAGUCCGACGGUACAGGGUGAUAGUCCCGUACACGAAAGCACACUUGCUGUGAACUCGAAGAGUAGGGCGGGACACGUGGUAUCCUGUCUGAAUAUGGGGGGACCAUCCUCCAAGGCUAAAUACUCCUGACUGACCGAUAGUGAACCAGUACCGUGAGGGAAAGGCGAAAAGAACCCCGGCGAGGGGAGUGAAAAAGAACCUGAAACCGUGUACGUACAAGCAGUGGGAGCCUCUUUAUGGGGUGACUGCGUACCUUUUGUAUAAUGGGUCAGCGACUUAUAUUCUGUAGCAAGGUUAACCGUAUAGGGGAGCCGAAGGGAAACCGAGUCUUAACUGGGCGUUAAGUUGCAGGGUAUAGACCCGAAACCCGGUGAUCUAGCCAUGGGCAGGUUGAAGGUUGGGUAACACUAACUGGAGGACCGAACCGACUAAUGUUGAAAAAUUAGCGGAUGACCUGUGGCUGGGGGUGAAAGGCCAAUCAAACCGGGAGAUAGCUGGUUCUCCCCGAAAGCUAUUUAGGUAGCGCCUCGUGAACUCAUCUUCGGGGGUAGAGCACUGUUUCGGCUAGGGGGCCAUCCCGGCUUACCAACCCGAUGCAAACUACGAAUACCGAAGAAUGUUAUCACGGGAGACACACGGCGGGUGCUAACGUCCGUCGUGAAGAGGGAAACAACCCAGACCGCCAGCUAAGGUCCCAAAGUCAUGGUUAAGUGGGAAACGAUGUGGGAAGGCACAGACAGCCAGGAUGUUGGCUUAGAAGCAGCCAUCAUUUAAAGAAAGCGUAAUAGCUCACUGGUCGAGUCGGCCUGCGCGGAAGAUGUAACGGGGCUAAACCAUGCACCGAAGCUGCGGCAGCGACGCUUAUGCGUUGUUGGGUAGGGGAGCGUUCUGUAAGCCGUUGAAGGUGUCCUGUGAGGGGUGCUGGAGGUAUCAGAAGUGCGAAUGCUGACAUAAGUAACGAUAAAGCGGGUGAAAAGCCCGCUCGCCGGAAGACCAAGGGUUCCUGUCCAACGUUAAUCGGGGCAGGGUGAGUCGACCCCUAAGGCGAGGCCGAAAGGCGUAGUCGAUGGGAAACAGGUUAAUAUUCCUGUACUUGGUGUUACUGCGAAGGGGGGACGGAGAAGGCUAUGUCAGCCGGGCGACGGUUGUCCCGGUUUAAGCAUGUAGGCGGAGGUUCCAGGUAAAUCCGGUACCUUAUUAACGCUGAGGUGUGAUGACGAGGCACUACGGUGCUGAAGUGAUAAAUGCCCUGCUUCCAGGAAAAGCCUCUAAGCAUCAGGUAACACGAAAUCGUACCCCAAACCGACACAGGUGGUCAGGUAGAGAAUACCAAGGCGCUUGAGAGAACUCGGGUGAAGGAACUAGGCAAAAUGGUGCCGUAACUUCGGGAGAAGGCACGCUGAUAUGUAGGUGAAGUCCCUGCGGACGGAGCUGAAAUCAGUCGAAGAUACCAGCUGGCUGCAACUGUUUAUUAAAAACACAGCACUGUGCAAACACGAAAGUGGACGUAUACGGUGUGACGCCUGCCCGGUGCCGGAAGGUUAAUUGAUGGGGUUAGCGGCAACGCGAAGCUCUUGAUCGAAGCCCCGGUAAACGGCGGCCGUAACUAUAACGGUCCUAAGGUAGCGAAAUUCCUUGUCGGGUAAGUUCCGACCUGCACGAAUGGCGUAAUGAUGGCCAGGCUGUCUCCACCCGAGACUCAGUGAAAUUGAACUCGCUGUGAAGAUGCAGUGUACCCGCGGCAAGACGGAAAGACCCCGUGAACCUUUACUAUAGCUUGACACUGAACACUGGUCCUUGAUGUGUAGGAUAGGUGGGAGGCUUUGAAGCGUGGACGCCAGUCUGCGUGGAGCCAACCUUGAAAUACCACCCUUUAAUGGCUGGUGUUCUAACGUAGACCCGUAAUCCGGGUUGCGGACAGUGUCUGGUGGGUAGUUUGACUGGGGCGGUCUCCUCCCAAAGAGUAACGGAGGAGCACGAAGGUUGGCUAAUCCUGGUCGGACAUCAGGAGGUUAGUGCAAUGGCAUAAGCCAGCUUGACUGCGAGCGUGACGGCGCGAGCAGGUGCGAAAGCAGGUCAUAGUGAUCCGGUGGUUCUGAAUGGAAGGGCCAUCGCUCAACGGAUAAAAGGUACUCCGGGGAUAACAGGCUGAUACCGCCCAAGAGUUCAUAUCGACGGCGGUGUUUGGCACCUCGAUGUCGGCUCAUCACAUCCUGGGGCUGAAGUAGGUCCCAAGGGUAUGGCUGUUCGCCAUUUAAAGUGGUACGCGAGCUGGGUUUAGAACGUCGUGAGACAGUUCGGUCCCUAUCUGCCGUGGGCGCUGGAGAAUUGAGGGGGGCUGCUCCUAGUACGAGAGGACCGGAGUGGACGCAUCACUGGUGUUCGGGUUGUCAUGCCAAUGGCACUGCCCGGUAGCUAAAUGCGGAAGAGAUAAGUGCUGAAAGCAUCUAAGCACGAAACUUGCCCCGAGAUGAGUUCUCCCUGAGACCUUGAGUCUCCUGAAGGAACGUUGAAGACUACGACGUUGAUAGGUCGGGUGUGUAAGCGCAGCGAUGCGUUGAGCUAACCGAUACUAAUGAACCGUGAGGCUUAACCU